UUUGUAAAAGGCAUUCUUUAUAAUAACAAUUUUUUGCCAGUGUUAUUCAGCAGUAUAUAUUUUUCAAAAUUAGAAGAUUCACCAUAUGUCAUCAUCCCUCCUCAAAAAUUGCUGAGUUGACAAUUACAGAAUCAAUUGUUGACAACAGGUUAUAUAAUCAUCUCUAAUAUUAUAUAUAAAUCGAUGCUGUCACAGAAAGCUUCUUUCUGGUUUCAUCACAACUUUUCACACGUACUGUUCCUAUCCAAAUCUAAAGCUGUUUUCUAUCAGAGUUGUUAGAGCUCUGAAAUAUUCACCUGGCAAACAAAGCCUUCCUGCUUUCAAAAAAGAAAAAAAAAAUCCCCUCUCUGUGUUCCAAAAAGUCUAUGGAAAUCUACAUGUUAAACCAAUAAAAACCAGGCAGUAGCAGCAUAUGGAACAUUUUUCCAAUUAUUUCCCCUCUAAAAAAUUACUUUCUGCAGGUUAAAUCUCAGGUGUUUUGGAUAUUGCAGAUUCAAUAGCUCUUUAAAAUUUUAAUUGGUUCACAGCCCGGUUCUGGAAUAAAUAACAAACUUGAGGAAGAUUACUAACAGUUUUUAAAAGAACUUUUUGGGAGAGGAGGAGGGUUCCUUAGGUAACAUAACUGAACUCCUUUGGAUUUUAAAAACAAACAUAUCACAGAGUCUAAAAGAAUAUUAUUUUGAAAAUGGUUACUUGUUUCAGUUGAACCUAGAAAAAUGCUGAGAACUACACAAUUACCUUUUCAGAGGAAAAAUGCAUAUAUCUACUAUUUUCUUCAUUGUAAUCUUUUUCAUUUAAUCACUUGCUUACUACUAUGCAAUCUACUGAAAGUGUUUAUGAUUCUGAGGAGUAAAAUUUAAAUAACUUUCCACUGGAAACAUUAGCUUCUCUCUUUAAAGCAAACAUUUUGAAAGCCUAAUCCUUAAAUUUACCUUCAGAGAAUACUCUCUAGUAAUUAAUUCACUUUUUAAUUGUUUUUAAUUAAAUACCUGAUUCAUAAUUUCUGUUUUAUUUUUAUUUGUGAUAUGAAUGCAAAUCAUUUUCUGUGGAAUUACAUGAGUGAAAGAAAACAUGACUAUCCCAACGCACACUGAAUUUCCACUGAAAUACUUCCCCCUGAAGCACCACGAGAGUGUCUCAGGCUAGCCAGCGGAGGAUGACAAGACACUUGGACCAGACAUCGCUGUCAUCCUAGCUGGCAACCAGUCUACACAAGACCUGUACAUAAUUCUGGUCAGAUGAAUAGCCCCACCAAACCCAGCUGAAAUCUUUGACCAUGGAAGGAUGAGCUAGAGAAAUGAGGUCUCCUCAGAAGUUGAAAGCAAUGAAAUAGAUGACUGGAUGGCUUUAUAUUAUUCUUUUAGGUACCAGGGGAUGAACUGUAGACAUGAUUUUUAGCAGCAUAAGUUAGCUUGUCUCCAUUCUGCAAACGUGUUUAUUUACCAGAAAGAUUCCUGUAUCCGACUCAGGAAUAUUAGCUGUCCGAAUGAGAGACUCAGGAGACAAGACAGAAAGCUUUGGUAAUUGGGACCUAGAUUGAGGGAUUACCCCCCAGAAGUGAAGAAAAGAAUUGGAGAAGAGAUCGAUCAACAUUUCAGCACAGGGACCAACGCAAGAGAAGUAUAUCUUAACAUGUCAUUUUAAUGGAGCAUGAAAGUGUCUGCAAGAGCUAUGUGUGAACAGGGCAUUUUACCUCUUAAAUGGAUACUAUUUUUGUUUACCUUUAGUGCAAAUACCAAGGAGCAGGGUGGGCUGUCACACGUAGAAUGUUGAGUCAUGAGCACACCCUACUGGUUUCCUGUGAGACAGCAAUAAAAGACAAUAGAAGGUCUCCAAGAUACUUGUUUUUUUGUUUUUGUGCUUUGUUUUUUUAAAUUACAGACAUGAUGAAACACACAAUACUUCAUAAUUUUAAUAUUAUACUCAAAUAAUAGUAACAUGUAUAUUAUGUAUAUGUUAAUACAGAUUACUAUAUAAUACAUAUAUUUCAACUAAAUCAAAUCAUUUCUGAAGUUUGUAGAUGUCUUCAUGUGCCUUCUUUCCCUCUUUUUCUAUUUUUAAGAUUG